AUGGGUGACACUGUGGUGGGUGUUUACUACAGGCCACCUGAUCAGGAAGAGGAAGUCGAUGAGGCCUUCUACAGACAGCUGGAAGUAGCCUCACGAUCCCAGGCCCUGGUUCUCAUGGGRGACUUCAACCACCCCGAUAUCUGCUGGAAAGACAACACAGCUAGGCACAAACAGUCCAAGGGGUUCCUGCAGAGCAUUGGUGACAACUUCUUGACACAGGUGGUGGAGGAGCCAACAAGGAGAGGUGUGCUGCUGGACCUCGUACUAACAAACAAAGAAGGACUGGUGGAAGAUGUGAAGGUCGGGGGCAGCCUUGGCUGCAGUGACCAUGAGAUGGUGGAGUUGAGGAUCCUGCGAGGAGGCAGCAGGGCACUAAGUAGGAUCACAACCCUGGACUUCAGGAGAGCAAACUUUGGCCUCUUCAGGGACCUACUUGGAGGAAUCCCAUGGGUUCGGGCCCUAGAAGGAAGGGGCGUUCAAGGGAGCUGGGUAAUAUUCAAACAUCACUUCCUCCAGGCUCAAGAGCGGUGCAUCCCUAUGAGUAGGAAGUCAAGCAAAGGAGGUAGGAGACCUGCAUGGAUGAGCAAGGAGCUCCUGGCAAAACUCAACCAGAAGAAGGAAGUAUACCGAAAGUGGAAAGGGGGACAGGCCGCUUGGGAGGAGUAUAGGAACGUUGUCAAAGUAUGCAGGGAUGUGACGAGGAAGGCUAAGGCCCGUUUGGAAUUAAAUCUGGCAAGAGAUGUCAAGGACAGCAAGAAGGGCUUCUUCAAAUACAUCAGUAGCAAGAGGAAGACUAGGGAAAAUGUGGGCCCGCUGCUGAAUGGGGUGGGUGCCCUGGUGACGAAGGAUGCAGAGAAGGCAGAGUUACUGAAUGCCUUCUUUGCUUCAGUCUUUACUGCUCAGGCCAGCCCUCAGGAACCCCAGACCCUGGAGGCAAGAGAGAAAGUCUGCAGAAAGGAAGACUUUCCCUUGGUGGAGGAGGAUUGGGUUAGAGAUCAUUUAAGAAAACUUGACACCCACAGAUGCAUGGGCCCUGACGGGAUGCACCCACGAGUGCUGAGGGAGCUGGCGGACGUUAUUGCUAAGCCACUCUCCAUCAUCUUUGAAAGGUCAUGGAGAACAGGAGAGGUGCCUGAAGACUGGAAGAGAGCCAAUGUCACCCCAGUCUUCAAAAAGGGCAAGAAGGAGGAGCCAGGGAACUACAGGGCAGUCAGCCUGGCCUUGGAAAGGUGA
ensembl:lncRNA